CAAAAUAUUGUCGCCUAUUAACCGAGAAAAAGUUCAUUUAAUAGCCAAGAUCUCAUAACACGCCUCCCUUUCGCACGAUCUGUACCCAAAACCCAGAGGAAAUCGAGAUCUAAAGCGAUUAUCUGCCUCUGAAUCAAUGGUUUUCAGCUCUAGCUCUAUACCAUGCUGGUGCUGGUGUAGUUGUUGGUGUUGUCAACUAUUGGAGCUGCUGGUUUGAAGUGCAUAUCAACUGUUUGAGGGGACACAAAGGAUGUAGAGGUGAAAAGCUUUAUUCUGGCUUGUUUGCUAUCGCCCUUGUUUCGCAUUCCAUUGUAUAGCACUAUCUAAAGUUCUAAACAUGAAGAGAGCUCUAAUGUUAAAGUUGGUCAAAUUAGAAGAACAUGAGAUGCGAAGGUCAGCACAUUUCCUACAAAAGAAGUCUGCACAUCUCCUGUGAAGAAUACCACAUCCCCGCAUAUUCAAAAAAAAGAGAACUUGAGAAGAUGGUCACAUCCCUAGAGAAGAAUGAUUUGUCAAAGAGGUCUGGAUGGGCACAAGAACUUAAUUAGGAACUGCUUUUGAUCAUGUUGAAUUGUAUGCAGUAUCAUGUUUCUACUCUCUGGCUAGCUCCUUAAGUAGAUUGCCAGUUUUUGUUUACGCGAAAGUUGUAAUCAAAAGUAUUUUAGGUUCUUUUUUGGUUCUCCUGAUCACCAAGCGAGGUGGAAGUACUGUUGGAUGUGUUUAGGUGAUCUGUGCGAAGCAAAAUUUAUUUGAUAGCUA